rnacentral:rRNA from 1 species
UGGGGAAUAUUGCAACAAUGGGCGAAAGCCUGAUGCAGCAACGCCGCGUGAAGGAAGAAGGGUUUCGGCUCGUAAACUUCUAUCAACAGGGACGAAAGAAAUGACGGUACCUGAAUAAGAAGCCCCGGCUAACUACGUGCC